UUUCCGUAGGUGAACCUGCGGAAGGAUCAUUAAUGAGUUGUCAUGGGGUUCGAUGCUGGCAGCCAGUUUUUGGAUGCAUGUGCUUGCCCUAACAAUCAUCUUCUUCCAAACACCUGUGCACAUUUUUGAGAGAGUCUUGAGUUGGUUGCCGCUCUUGGGUGAUUUUCUCACAUUCCCUUAAAUCAUUAUACGUUAUUAACAAUGUUGAACGUGCUCUGUGCCGCAAGGCCAUUAAUAUAAUACAACUUUUAACAACGGAUCUCUUGGCUCUCGCAUCGAUGAAGAGCGCAGC
rnacentral:misc_RNA from 1 species